GAUGAACGCUGGCGGCGUGCCUAAUACAUGCAAGUCGAACGCUUCACAUAUGUGAAGAGUGGCGAACGGGUGAGUAAUACAUAAGUAACCUGGCCUUUACAGGGGGAUAACUAUUGGAAACGAUAGCUAAGACCGCAUAGGUGUGAUAACCGCAUGGAGAUGACAUGAAAUAUGCUACGGCAUAGGUAGAGGAUGGACUUAUGGCGCAUUAGCUAGUUGGAGGGGUAACGGCCCACCAAGGCGACGAUGCGUAGCCGACCUGAGAGGGUGACCGGCCACACUGGGACUGAGACACGGCCCAGACUCCUACGGGAGGCAGCAGUAGGGAAUUUUCGGCAAUGGGGGAAACCCUGACCGAGCAACGCCGCGUGAAGGAAGAAGUAAUUCGUUAUGUAAACUUCUGUCAUAGAGGAAGAACGGUGCGUGUAGGGAA
rnacentral:rRNA from 1 species